UUGUGACAAAAACAUCCUCAACAUUUUGCUGUCACAAACCUCUGGCAUUCUGAAUAAUGAUUGAAGAUAUUCUUCUAAAGCACCCCUUCGAUAUUCCAAAACAUUUUUGUUUAAAGAGGUGAUGAUCGAUUUUUGAGGAAAUUUUAAAGAUCUGACUCCAGGGUAUGUUUGCUUUAGCUGCUUAUGCAACUCUGCAAACUCUCGAUACCGUCUAGCCACCAUCCAUCCGGAACGGACAUGUCCAUUUUCAAGUCGUUCAAUGCGUAUGGUGUAAACAGCAAAGUCUGGGGUGUUCUCCUCUUUGCUAAUUUUAAAUGAAUCAAUAGACACCCGAGAGCGAUUAAAGAGUUUACUGUCUUCUUCUUGCGACAUAUACUGAUCUCGUUGACGUUCUUUGCGGUGAAUU